ensembl:snRNA U6 U6 spliceosomal RNA
GUGCCCGCUUGGGCAGCACGUGUACUAAAAGUGGGAUGAUACAGAGAAGAUCAGCGUGGCCCCUGCGCAAGGAUGACUCGCAAAUUUGUGAAGUGUUACAUUUUAAU